rnacentral:rRNA from 1 species
GACGAACGCUGGCGGCGUGCCUAACACAUGCAAGUCGAACGGAGUUAAGUCUUCGGAUUUAACUUAGUGGCGAACGGGUGAGUAACGCGUGAGGAACCUGCCUUUCAGUGGGGGACAACAGUUGGAAACGACUGCUAAUACCGCAUAACAUGUACGGAUCGCAUGGUCUGUACAUCAAAGCUUUAUGUGCUGAAAGAUGGCCUCGCGUCUGAUUAGAUAGUUGGUGAGGUAACGGCUCACCAAGUCGACGAUCAGUAGCCGGUCUGAGAGGAUGAACGGCCACAUUGGGACUGAGAUACGGCCCAG